rnacentral:lncRNA from 1 species
UUUGAUAGAAGGGCACAUUUGACCUGUUGUUCAGAUCAGAAGUUCCUGUUUUUGUACUAUCAAACUUCAGGGAACCAGUACGCUCUAAUAUGCAAUUAAAGGUAUGUUGAUUUUUGCAGCACAAGUCAGGAUAAGGUACAGUUUUGACAUGAAAUAACUGCCACUUUAUUUGAACUUAAGACAAAGAAGCCAUUAAUGCUUGAAAUUGCAGAAUUUAACAUAGAAAGCAAUGGGGCUAUGAAUUAGUGGUUUUACACCUAUUAAUGAUAAUUUCUA